rnacentral:rRNA from 1 species
CCUACGGGAGGCAGCAGUGAGGAAUAUUGGUCAAUGGGCGCAAGCCUGAACCAGCCAAGUCGCGUGAGGGAUGACGGUCCUAUGGAUUGUAAACCUCUUUUGUCGGGGAGCAAGGCCCGCCACGUGUGGCGGGAAGGAGAGUACCCGAAGAAAAAGCAUCGGCUAACUCCGUGCCAGCAGCCGCGGUAAUACGGAGGAUGCGAGCGUUAUCCGGAUUUAUUGGGUUUAAAGGGUGCGUAGGCGGAAGGUUAAGUCAGCGGUCAAAUGUCGGUGCUCAACCACGGAACUGCAUUUGAAACUGUCGGUCUCGAGUAUCGGAGAGGCAGGCGGAAUUCCUAGUGUAGCGGUGAAAUGCGUAGAUAUUAGGAGGAACACCAGUGGCGAAGGCGGCCUGCUGGACGACAACUGACGGUGAGGCGCGAAAGCGUGGGGAGCAAACAGGAUUAGAUACCCUAGUAGUC